UGGUUUGUUUGAUGCGAUGUUUUUAGUGAACUCAAAUGUUUUUAUUUCAUUUUGGUUAGUUGCUCAAUUUGUUGUUUCUCUUGUAAAGGGAUUAUGACCGAUUUGCUGAGGACUGUUUUGGAGACUAACUUACCUAAAGUAAAGGAAGGCUAGAAGCCGGAGUUCACCUUAGGUGUAGUAGAAUCUAAGAUUGGUUCCCAUAUACAUGAAGCUACUAAGUAACCCUAGUUGUUAACAUUAUUAGUAUUUUUAUGCUUCAGAAAAUGUUGAUGAUUUUUUUUAAGGAACUUUGUUUUUAUGUAUGUUUAGUUUGGUUGAUACUAUGUUUUUAGUGAACUCACUCAAAUGCUGUUAUUUUGCUGUUAUUUCAUUUUGGUUAGUUGCUCAAUUUGUUAUUUGUUUAUUGUUGUGAAGGGAUUAUGACUGAUGAGCUGAGGACUGUUUUGGAGACUAACUUACCUAAAGUAAAGGAAGGGAAGAAGCCAAAGUUCACCUUAGGUGUAUUAGAAUCUAAGAUUGGUUCGCAUAUACAUGAAGCUACAAAGAUUCCAGUCCAAA
rnacentral:lncRNA from 1 species